GGUCCCGCCUGCCCUGUGACUUUUAGUUUAACGGCCGCGGUAUUUUGACCGUGCGAAGGUAGCGCAAUCACUUGUCUUUUAAAUGGAGACCUGUAUGAAUGGCAUAACGAGGGCUUGACUGUCUCCUCUUUCAAGUCAAUGAAAUUGAUCUCCCCGUGCAGAAGCGGGGAUGUAAACAUAAGACGAGAAGACCCUGUGGAGCUUUAGACGCCAAGGCAGAUCAUGUUAAAUAACCCCAAACACGGGGCCGAACCAGAUGAGCCCUGCCCUAGUGUCUUUGGUUGGGGCGACCGCGGGGAAACAAAAAACCCCCAUGUGGAAUGGGAACACCCCUCUCCUACAAUUAAGAGCCACAGCUCUAAGCAACAGAACUUCUGACCAGCAAGAUCCGGAAAUACCGAUCAACGAACCGAGUUACCCCAGGGAUAACAGCGCAAUCCCCUUUUAGAGCCCGUAUCAACAAGGGGGUUUACGACCUCGAUGUUGGAUCAGGACAUCCUAAUGGUGCAGCCGCUAUUAAGGGUUCG
rnacentral:rRNA from 1 species